CGGCGAACGGGUGAGUAAUACUUCGGAAUCUACCCAAUGGUGGGGAAUAACCAGCCGAAAGGUUGGCUAAUACCGCAUACGUCCUACGGGAGAAAGCAGGGGAUCGUAAGACCUUGCGCCAGUGGAUGAGCCGAAGCCGGAUUAGCUAGUUGGUAGGGUAACGGCCUACCAAGGCGACGAUCCGUAGCUGGUCUGAGAGGACGACCAGCCACACUGGGACUGAGACACGGCCCAG
rnacentral:rRNA from 1 species